GCCUUCGGUGAGAGCUCAGUUGGUAGAGCAUGAGACUUCAUCUUAGGGUUGUGGGUUUGAGCACCAUGUUGGGCA